CCUACGGGAGGCAGCAGUGGGGAAUAUUGGGCAAUGGACGCAAGUCUGACCCAGCAACGCCGCGUGAAGGAAGAAGGCUUUCGGGUUGUAAACUUCUUUUAAGGGGGAAGAGCAGAAGACGGUACCCCUUGAAUAAGCCACGGCUAACUACGUGCCAGCAGCCGCGGUAAUACGUAGGUGGCAAGCGUUGUCCGGAUUUACGGGGUGGAAAGGGCGUGCAGCCGGAGAGACAAGUCAGAUGUGAAAUCCACGGGCUCAACCCGUGAACUGCAUUUGACACUGGUUCCCUUGAGUGUCGGAGAGGGAAGCGGAAUUCCUGGUGUAGCGGUGAAAUGCGUAGAUAUAAGGAAGAACACCAGUGGCGAAGGCGGAUUACUGGACGAUAACUGACGGUGAGGCGCGAAAGCGUGGGGAGCAAACAGGAUUAGAUACCCGGGUAGUC
rnacentral:rRNA from 1 species